AUUUUGCUUUGUCAUCAUCUUGCUCUAUUAAAAAAAUUAGUCCAAACAGUAUAUGUAUGAGAAAGUAUAAUUUGUAAAGCAGAUAUUAAAUAUAAACAAUCACAAUAUGUAACCAGACUUAAUUUUCAAUACAUCAUAUUCUUACAAGCCAUAUAUGCGUAGCAAAUGGCAGCAUUUGGCUCUCUUCUCUGGUUGAACUAUACCAUGUAUGCUAACAUUUCUUGUAAAUCAAGAUGCGCUAUGAUUAAAUUAGUUGACUCAUUCUUGAUCCAAUAACUCAAACACUCUGAUACUGAGAAAUUUGGUUACUUGAUUCAUGCCCAAGCUGUAAAUCAAAGAUUCAACAAGCAUUAGAAAGAUAUUGUUAUUACUAUGCAGGAGUUUAAUAUUGAGAUUCAGUUCUGUAAAUAAAAAAAUAUAUUUGGGUGAGAUUAAUUUUUCAGACUUUGGAAUUCUACUAUCUUUGUUUUUUCCAUCUCUUUCUUUUUGAGCCUGUUAGAAAGGGAAUGUUGUCUCGUGAGAGAGCUGUAGAAUGUAAACAAACAUGCAUUCAGUCCCAUUACCUAAAACCUUGUAUGAGUUCAACAGAAGUCCAUUUGUUGUUCAUUAUCAAUUUAUUUUGUGAAAGUAUUCCCUAGUAUUUCCUUGUAAAUACUUGUUUACAGUUUUUCUUCAUUGCCGUCCUCAAUCCCAUUUCAUCUUUGCAUUAAUGUCCUUCUUUGAGCAAUUGAUGUGUAGGGAUAUUUCUUACCUUCUGUCCUUGAGCACGGGGAUUAGUUUUACAACUAGAUGUCCUUGAUCUUCUCCGGAAAUAGCUUUAGCUUCAUGUGAUAUACUGGGAUCCAGUGCAACUUUCCUGAAUUUCCCUAACUGGGAAACAGUCAAGUAUUUCCUGGCUAUAUAAUUCUUAUUCCAAAGUUUAAUAGGCAGUCUACAAUAACCUUCUGUGUUAUCUUGUGUUCUAUGGACUCCAAACUAGAUCUGAACAUGUUAUGGAUGAGCUGUAUUAACAAAGGAAAAGAAAAGGAGUGCUGUCUUCUGUAAAAGAAUCCUAAAUACAGUGAGUGCCUUUGCUUCUAUCUUUAUUAUAUUUGAACAUACUACAAGAAAAGAUUACGUGAACCAUUUAAACCAUUAAGUCUCUGGAGUCUAGGAAAAGUCAGGGGUUCUGAAUGCCAUUGGUUGCAUGCCCUCCACAAGUACAGGAGUCCUGAAGCUUUCUGCAGCUUGUGGGAAUGCAGUAGCUCCCCGUCAUCUAGACAGCAAAAUUUUUUACCAUGGCCUUAAAAAAAAUGAGAAGCUUGGAUUUUGUGAGUAAACGGAAGAUACUAGUCUGUCUGGGUUCUGUUUAAGUGUUUUAAGACAUUAAAGCAUGACAUUAAGACAUUUAAGACAUGAAGCAAAAGAUAUAUCUGAAGAACUGACAUUCUUGCAGUGUGUUAGCACAGAUUUGCCUGAAAGUACAGCAGUACUUUCCUCCAGUUAACUAGGGAAAAGAAUCUAGGAGAAAAAGAGAACCACGUUAUUAGCUUAUACCUGGGGAAGUGUUAAGCAGAGUAACAGGUUCUGCUCAGAGAUUCUGGCAUACAACAUAGAUUGAUAUGAAUGAUGAGACAUAAUUGCCAGUCAUCACUACUUGUGGUGAAAAAUCUGAGAAAGAAAUAACAUGGCUACUUUCAAGUUUGCUUGUGGAGUCAUUUUAGCAAAAUUAAUGGUUUCUUUAGUUUCUUGCAUGUGAGUGAGUAAAGAAGACUGAUGAAAUAUUCAGAAUCCUAGCACAGAGCAAAUAAUCUUACAUUUGAAAAUAACUGCUUUUUUUUGUCCUCUGUUUUUCAUUUAUAUAAUAUUGAUCUGCACUUAAUAUAUGUUUAGACAGUGUACUUUUGUGCAACAGGUAACAGGAAAACAAAAUUCAAGCUAUCUUUGAACAUACUAAAACAGUGGGGAAAGCAAACAAACAAACAAAAAAAAACCUGUCAUUAUGAGGCAACUAGGUACAGCUGGUUUUGUAAUUUAGAGAUGUAAAGUUCAUCUGUCUAGAACUUGUGUUUUGCACAAUCAUCCUACUCAAGAUCAUACUGCCAUUUGCUUGCUUUCCACCAAACCAGAGAGGAAUUUGCAGUUAUUUUUAAAGAGCAAUUGCUGUGAAAUUGUCAGUGUGAAGGAUGUGAGGAUGCUAUUCUUGUCAUCCUCUUCAGUGUUCUCCUCCCCACCACCUUAACAAAGAUAGUAGUCCAGCUGUGGACCACUCAUUAAAUUGUCUUGUAUCUGUCCUCUGUGCAAAUUUAACCUUUCAGUUUUUCAACUUAUUCUUGGACCCUUCUUUUAGUUAGGAAAUUGAUUUCAGACUGCAAUAAGUUGUUCCAGCAUAUAAUUUUUUAAAAAGCAAAAUUGAUCAAAUAUUCUCAAGAUGAUUGUAUAGAAUUACACAAAAUAUCCACAGCUGCUAACAUUUCAAUUUUGGGAUUCUCUCUACUAAGACUAUCACCGUAUCUGACAGAAGUUAUAAUCUGCUCUUGGAGAAUCUCAUAUUAGUUGCAUAAAGCCUGCAAGAAAGUGUUGGGCAGGUCUGAUUACUGCUGUGAGAGAUGAGUCAAACACAUAUCCAAUGGCUAGCUUAUUAUAGAACAGUGUGAAGGAAAUUACUAAGUUUUGUAAUCUAUCUGUUAUACAGUUAGGGUCAUGUUGUGUUUCUUAUUCAUCUAUUUAAUUUUUAGUUCUGAAACACAUCUAUAAUUUAAUCUUUUAUUUUUGAACUGUCACCCUGAUCAUUCUAAGAUGUACUUGGAUUGAAUUUCAUGGCUCUAUAUUAAAACAUGUACUGCAUAUGUUUAUUGAAAGAAAUACGAAAAUGUAUGAAAAUAUCUAAUUGUGUAUACUUUUUGGAUGGAAAAUUAAAGAUGUUAACCUCUUUUCACCGUUCAAUGGCGUGUGAAAGAGCAAGAGAGAUUCAAAAACUUCAUUAAUUGCUGCAGGAUGACGUUACAAGCCACCUGCACUUCAAAGAAUUCUCAAUGAAGCAGAUGGAUUGAUGAAUACGCCAUUAAAGAUUUAAAGAAUGUUUGUUUUAAAAAUAUACUGCUUGAAUCAAAGCAUACAAUUUACAAAAAUAUCGUUGCUCUUUUUUUUUUUUUUUUUUUUCUCCUGCAUCCUGCAUAGUUUUGGGAAUAUAACAUAUGAGAAGAUUAUAUGUUAUGGUUUAGGUGUAAAUUUAGGUCCUUUUUGAGUCCUUUUUGAGUGUUGCAACGUGUUCUAUUUCUUCUAGAAUAAACUAACUUUCAAAAAAUCAUUGUAUAUUUAGACAUUGGUAUAUCAGAAACUUGCCAUAGCAUUAGUUUCAACUGACUUUGAGUGUAAAUUCCAUUUCCAUCUUCUUUUCCUGAAACCAUUAUAGAGAGGAAAUCUCU
rnacentral:lncRNA from 1 species